CUGCAAACCCCCCUCUCUUCUUCUAUGUGGUCACUCACAUGUAACAUUUGCUGGACUCUGAAACACUUUUCAAAGAUAUGCCUUCACAAUCCAGCC
ensembl:misc_RNA